GGCGCUGUGGCUGAAUUGGCUAGGCUUAGUUUCGCAAGAACUUACAUAGUGGUUCGAAUCCACUCGGCGCCU
rnacentral:tRNA from 1 species